AGAGUUUGAUCCUGGCUCAGGAUGAACGCUGGCGGCGUGCUUAACACAUGCAAGUCGAACGAAGCAUUUACGACAGAUUUCUUCGGAAUGAAGUUGUUUAUGACUGAGUGGCGGACGGGUGAGUAACGCGUGGGUAACCUGCCUCAUACAGGGGGAUAGCAGCUGGAAACGGCUGGUAAUACCGCAUAAGCGCACAGUAUCGCAUGAUAUAGUGUGAAAAACUCCGGUGGUAUGAGAUGGACCCGCGUCUGAUUAGCUAGUUGGUGAGGUAACGGCCCACCAAGGCGACGAUCAGUAGCCGACCUGAGAGGGUGACCGGCCACAUUGGGACUGAGACACGGCCCAGACUCCUACGGGAGGCAGCAGUGGGGAAUAUUGCACAAUGGAGGAAACUCUGAUGCAGCGACGCCGCGUGAGUGAAGAAGUAUUUCGGUAUGUAAAGCUCUAUCAGCAGGGAAGAUAGUGACGGUACCUGACUAAGAAGCUCCGGCUAAAUACGUGCCAGCAGCCGCGGUAAUACGUAUGGAGCAAGCGUUAUCCGGAUUUACUGGGUGUAAAGGGAGUGUAGGUGGCAUCGCAAGUCAGAAGUGAAAGCCCGGGGCUCAACCCCGGGACUGCUUUUGAAACUGCGGAGCUAGAGUGCAGGAGGGGUGAGUGGAAUUCCUAGUGUAGCGGUGAAAUGCGUAGAUAUUAGGAGGAACACCAGUGGCGAAGGCGGCUCACUGGACUGUAACUGACACUGAGGCUCGAAAGCGUGGGGAGCAANACAGGAUUAGAUACCCUGGUAGUCCACGCCGUAAACGAUGA
rnacentral:rRNA from 1 species